rnacentral:lncRNA from 1 species
UCUACUAAAAGUUAGAGUUUCUACAGGUGGGUGUGCCGGUGUAUUACUUGAGUUAUGAACAAGACAAGUAGGUGUAUCAUCUAAAUCUGGUGCUUUGGUUUCAUCAUCAUCAUUAUCAUCAUCAUUUUCCUCUAAGAUAGGUUCAUUAGGAUAAAGAGCAUUCAUAAUUUCAUCAUCUAAUCUAUCACCUACUGCAGCAUCAUGUAGAAAUUCAAUAUCGGUAAAUUGAAAACAAGGGUGAUCACUAUCAAGCAUUACGGGAGG